UGGACCAGUGAUGGCACCUGGUGGCAUAUGAGCCAUGCACAGUGAAUGUCAUGUGCCUGAAACUCUGAGGUCCAA